rnacentral:rRNA from 1 species
AGUGAACGCUGGCGGCGUGCCUAAUACAUGCAAGUCGAACGAGCGGCGGACGGGUGAGUACUGCCUAGGAAUCUGCCUGGUAGUGGUGGAUAACGUCCGGCAACGGGCGCUAAUACCGCAUACUAUCAGAUGAGCCUAGGUCGGAUUAGCUAGUUGGUGGGGUAAAGGCCUACCAAGGCGACGAUCCGUAACUGGGCUGAGAGGAUGAUCAGUCACACUGGAACUGAGACACGGUCCAGACUCCUACGGGAGGCAGCAGUGGGUAAUAUUGGACAAUGGGCGAAAGCCGGAUCCAGCCAUGCCGCGGGUGUGAAGAAGGUCUGCGGAUUGUAAAGCACUUGAAGUUGGGAGGCGUUACCAACAGAAUAAGCACCGGCUAACUUCGUGCCAGCCGCCGCGGUAAUUC